rnacentral:lncRNA from 1 species
AUAACAGGACAAAAAAGAGAAGCUGAUCAUGGAUUAUCUGACCAUUGAAGCUGAGGAAGAAGUCCUUCCAGCCAUUACUACUGAGGAUGCCUCUCUGCCCCAAAAACAGGACACAGAAGAAAUGGAACCUACUGUUGAGCUCCUUCCUGUUGAGUUCCAGGAAUUGGUGACAGUCAAGGAUGAGGAAAUGGAUUUCACUCAUGUGGAAGAAGAACAGCUGAAUUCUGCCCAAAGGUACAUGGGCAUGGAUAUGAAAGUGGAGACUUGUGGGAGCCUGGUAUUUUGGGGGAUUUUAUGAAGACGUGU